AAAGCGUGCGCAGGCGGUUUUGUAAGUUUGUCGUGAAAGCCCCGGGCUCAACCUGGGAAUUGCGAUGAAGACUGCAAGGCUUGAAUCUGGCAGAGGGGGGUAGAAUUCCACGUGUAGCAGUGAAAUGCGUAGAGAUGUGGAGGAACACCGAUGGCGAAGGCAGCCCCCUGGGUCAAGAUUGACGCUCAUGCACGAAAGCGUGGGGAGCAAACAGGAUUAGAUACCCUAGU
rnacentral:rRNA from 1 species